UACAGUUUGUGUUAUGAAGCUAGCGAGCGUAGCUCUGUUUUGAUAACUCGCUUGAGAUUCGAUUGUAGUUGACCGAGAACCGCGUUCAAGUCGUCACAAGAUGAUAUUCCAUUUGGUAGGCAUCCUUAUUCUUGCUCUAUGGCAUUCCUUCGGUUAUGCGCAUAGAAUUGUGGUCGGAGCACAUGCACCAUGCGAUGCCUACUGCCUAAACGAGGUGAAACCCCUGCACAACACCAUUGCCACACUUAAUAAUCGUUUGAGCGAAUGCGAGACAAUGCUAUCGAUCAAUGCGAGUGCCAGACUGGAUAAAAUUGAUAAAGAGUUAAAGACACAGAAAUUCAGGGUUUCGGCUAAUACGCAACGCAUUUCGAGAAAUAGAAAGAAUUUGAGCGAUAAAGUGAAAUCAAUUGAAAAGCGUAAGAGGGAAUUGCGAAAACCCUUUGUGCAGAUUGGAUCUGGAUAUUAUUACAUUGAAGAUGCGAUUGUAAUAAGUUGGUUUGGAGCCGUCCGCUUAUGCCUUCGAUUCGGUGGCCAUUUGAUCACGCUAAAUAAUCAAGAGGAACUGGAUGCAAUCAUUCCGAAACUAACAAAGAACCGCUACUGGACUGACGUCAAUAAUCUGUCAGUUGAUGAUUUAGUAUCGAUCAACACUGGAUCGAGAGCUGAAUUUCUUAAGUGGGCAAAAGGACAACCAGACGGAGGAGCAAAAGAGGAAUGCGUGAGCCUCGUUUCACCACAAUAUGAAAUGCAUGAUUACUCAUGCUGGACGAAAAAUUAUUUCAUAUGUGAGGCAUAUGAGGAAUAAAUGUGUUGAAAAUUGUUUCAUUUUGGAAAUGUAGAUAGUAAUAUAUUUAUAUCGCAAUCUUUCAAACAGUUUAUUAUAGUAACAUUGACGACCUUAAUUUUGAAGUGAUAAUACAAUUAAAUACAUAUACUAUUAUUUUAAAGCGAAUAAUACACAUUUAGAUAAAUAGCGUAAAAUAUUAAUUGUCUACAGUUUGUGUUCUAAAGUUAGCGAGCGUAACCGUCAUUUGAUAUUCGAUUGAGAUUCGACUGUAGUUGACCGAGAACCGCGUUCAAGUCGACAAAAUAUGAUAUUGUCUUUUGAAAGCAUCCUUAUUCUUGCUCUGUCGCAUUCCUUCCGUUAUGCGCAAGGAAUUGUGGUCGGAGCACCUGCACCAUGCGAUGCCUACUGCUUCAACGAGUUGAAACCCCUGCACAACACCAUUGCGAUACUGAAUAACCGUUUGAGCGAAUGCGGGACAAUGCAAUCUGUCAAUGCGAGUGCCAGACUGGAUAAAAUUGAUAAAGAGUUAAAGACACAGAAAUUCAGGGUGUCGGCUAAUACGCAACGCAUUUCGAGAAAUAGAAAGAAUUUGAGCGAUAAAGUGAAAUCAAUUGAAAAACGUAAGAGGGAAUUGCGAAAACCCUUUGUUCAGAUUGGAUCUGGAUAUUAUUACAUUGAAGACGGGGUUAUAUUGAGUUGGUUUGGAGCCGUCCGCGCAUGCCUUCGAUUCGGUGGCCAUUUGAUCACGCUAAAUAAUCAAGAGGAACUGGAUGCAAUCAUUCCGAAACUGACAAUGAACCGCUACUGGAUUGACGUCACUGAUCUGGAAGUUUGGGACUUCGUAUCGAUCACUACUGGUUGGAGAGCUGAAUUUCUUAAGUGGGCAAAAGGACAACCAGACGGAGGAGCAAAAGAGGAAUGCGUGAGCAUCGUUUCACCAAAGUAUGAAAUGCAUGAUUACCCGUGCCUGACAGCGAACUAUUUCAUAUGUGAGGCAUUUGAGGAAUAAAAGUCUUGAAAAUUGUUUCAUUUUGGAAAUGUA